rnacentral:tRNA from 1 species
GUCGGAGUGGCGGAAUUGGCAGACGCGCAGGCUUGAGGUGCCUGUGUCCACUUAUCGGACGUGUGAGUUCAAAUCUCAUCUCCGACACCA